CGGGGCUUAAACCAUGCACCGAAGCUCAGGGUGUGCAGCUUGCUGCACGCGGUAGCGGAGCGUUCCGUAAGCCUGUGAAGGUGUGCCGUAAGGCAUGCUGGAGGUAUCGGAAGCGAGAAUGCUGACAUGAGUAGCGAUAAAGGGAGUGAGAACCUCCCUCGCCGAAAGCCCAAGGGUUCCUGCGCAAGGCCAAUCCGCGCAGGGUGAGUCGGCCCCUAAGACGAGGCAGAAAUGCGUAGUCGAUG
rnacentral:rRNA from 1 species